AAAAUUAAUCAAAACAGCUAGACUUAUUUGUUAAUUACUCACUGCAUGCUAUGGUCAUUUUUGUGACAGCUGAAUAUGCAAAGGUUCCAAUAGCAGUGCCCAUUAUGAAGCCAAUUAGUAAUGAAGAGGAACAACAUUACAUUAAUGGAGCAAAGUUUGCAUCCGCAGGAGCUGGCUCUCUUCUACAGACAUUCCAAGGCGCAGUGAUUGAUUUGAAGACGCAAUUGAAUAAGGUGAAAAUUUUGUUGAGAAACAAGUUUGGCUUUACUAAAUCGGACAAAAUAUUGAGCAGUACUUGCUGUUUACUCGAUAAGUAUUGGGACCAAUGACUACUUAAGUCCCUUUUGACCAAUUCAACACUCGUAGCUUCCUAUUCUCCUCACCAGUAGUACGUACAAAUGGUCAUUGGCAUCUUGACCGCUGUGGUCCAAGAGAUAUACAAGAACGGAGGAAGGAGCGUGUUGUGGAACAGGAAUAUAUAGCUGUGGAGGAAAGAGAGCAGUUAAGCAAUUUGAGGUUUGCAAAAGCCCAAAAGGACAUGUCUUUUGGGAUUCUUUAACUGUUACCAGCAAAUGGCUGAUGAAAUGUGGAAUGGGCCCACGGGCUCUUCUACUCUCAACACUCCCUUUCAAUGCCUUUAAAGAGCAAACUACAAAUUCUGUUGGCAAAGUAUGCAUUAGUAUUAUUAUUAUUAGUAUCUUCUUGAUUCUAGGAAAUGUCAAUUCAUAAUUUUCAGUCGAUUUUAUGCUUUUGUAAAGAUAAUUGUUCCCUCUAUUUCUUUU